AUACUUAGCUGACAGGGGAGAUACCAUGAUCAUGAAGUUGGUUUUUCCAGGAUGAGAGUUACCCAUUGCACUCCGGAUGUGCUGACCCCUUCGAUUUCCGCAAAUGUGGGAAACUUGACUGCAUAAUUUGUGGUAGUGGGGGACUACGUUCAUGCUCUCCUCUU
rnacentral:snRNA from 1 species